CCCUGAAGGAGAUUUUCCUAGAUCCACUAAAUCUAUUUAAAAGAAAGCUUGUAGGCACCCUCAGUCUCAGGUUCAAGUUCAGUCACAAAUUGUAAGUGACCCUGGUCUCAGGUCCCUAUUCAGGGUGCCAAAUAUAGGCGAGACUGGAUCCUGAGCCCUACACUGCGGUGACACCCGUAGCAGACCCAUCUGGCCGGACUUGCUCAGGGACUUAGACCGCUACUUUGUUCUCCCUGACCGGGGGGCAAAUGAGGAUGAAUGACAGAGAGACAGCCAGCUUAACAGGUUUUAUCAACAUUAAGAGUAAUGAUUGUCUGACACAGAAACUGGGACUUGGCAAGAUCAACAGAUCUGACAUUUGAAGAAGGUCAGCCUAACUUGAAAGUUACAAAUCUUAACGGAAAAGCUGAAUGAAGCCUUGAUGUUUCAGGUCUGGAAGCCUUGAAAAAUGUGUUUCUCCAUAUUCUCUGGCAUCUUUGUUGUCCCUUGAAGGAAGCAGAAGCUCAGCUAAUGUGGGAGGAGAAAUAAGUCUUAAAACUUGAAUAGAGAAACACAACAAGGAAGACAUCCUACAUGCUGAUGAUCCUUGGAUGAGGGACAGAGGAAUUGUUUUCCAGGACCAAGAAAGAGUUUCUGACAUAGACCCUAUAAAGAUUUUAUUGGAACUAGUGGGCAGGUCCCAUACAUCCUGCUGAAGAGUUGCCCUGGAGAAUAUAGUGAUUAAAAUGACUGACAAAGUAGAUUUAAGC
ensembl:lncRNA